rnacentral:rRNA from 1 species
AGGUGGUCAGGUAGAGAAUACCAAGGCGCUUGAGAGAACUCGGGUGAAGGAACUAGGCAAAAUGGUGCCGUAACUUCGGGAGAAGGCACGCUGAUAUGUAGGUGAAGCGACUUGCUCGUGGAGCUGAAAUCAGUCGAAGAUACCAGCUGGCUGCAACUGUUUAUUAAAAACACAGCACUGUGCAAACACGAAAGUGGACGUAUACGGUGUGACGCCUGCCCGGUGCCGGAAGGUUAAUUGAUGGGGUCAGCGCAAGCGAAGCUCUUGAUCGAAGCCCCGGUAAACGGCGGCCGUAACUAUAACGGUCCUAAGGUAGCGAAAUUCCUUGUCGGGUAAGUUCCGACCUGCACGAAUGGCGUAAUGAUGGCCAGGCUGUCUCCACCCGAGACUCAGUGAAAUUGAACUCGCUGUGAAGAUGCAGUGUACCCGCGGCAAGACGGAAAGACCCCGUGAACCUUUACUAUAGCUUGACACUGAACAUUGAGCCUUGAUGUGUAGGAUAGGUGGGAGGCUUAGAAGUGUGGACGCCAGUCUGCAUGGAGCCGACCUUGAAAUACCACCCUUUAAUGUUUGAUGUUCUAACGUUGACCCGUAAUCCGGGUUGCGGACAGUGUCUGGUGGGUAGUUUGACUGGGGCGGUCUCCUCCUAAAGAGUAACGGAGGAGCACGAAGGUUGGCUAAUCCUGGUCGGACAUCAGGAGGUUAGUGCAAUGGCAUAAGCCAGCUUGACUGCGAGCGUGACGGCGCGAGCAGGUGCGAAAGCAGGUCAUAGUGAUCCGGUGGUUCUGAAUGGAAGGGCCAUCGCUCAACGGAUAAAAGGUACUCCGGGGAUAACAGGCUGAUACCGCCCAAGAGUUCAUAUCGACGGCGGUGUUUGGCACCUCGAUGUCGGCUCAUCACAUCCUGGGGCUGAAGUAGGUCCCAAGGGUAUGGCUGUUCGCCAUUUAAAGUGGUACGCGAGCUGGGUUUAGAACGUCGUGAGACAGUUCGGUCCCUAUCUGCCGUGGGCGCUGGAGAACUGAGGGGGGCUGCUCCUAGUACGAGAGGACCGGAGUGGACGCAUCACUGGUGUUCGGGUUGUCAUGCCAAUGGCACUGCCCGGUAGCUAAAUGCGGAAGAGAUAAGUGCUGAAAGCAUCUAAGCACGAAACUUGCCCCGAGAUGAGUUCUCCCUGACCCUUUAAGGGUCCUGAAGGAACGUUGAAGACGACGACGUUGAUAGGCCGGGUGUGUAAGCGCAGCGAUGCGUUGAGCUAACCGGUACUAAUGAACCGUGAG